rnacentral:rRNA from 1 species
AUUGAACGCUGGCGGCAGGCCUAACACAUGCAAGUCGAGCGGCAGCGGGAAAGUAGCUUGCUGCUUUUGCCGGCGAGCGGCGGACGGGUGAGUAAUGCCUGGGAAAUUGCCCAGUCGAGGGGGAUAACAGUUGGAAACGACUGCUAAUACCGCAUACGUCCUACGGGGGAAAGCAGGGGACCUUCAGGCCUUGCGCGAUCGGAUAUGCCCAGGUGGGAUUAGCUAGUUGGUGAGGUAAUGGCUCACCAAGGCGACGAUCCCUAGCUGGUCUGAGAGGAUGAUCGGCCACGCUGGAACUGGUACACGGUCCAGACUCCUACGGGAGGCAGCAGUGGGGAAUAUUGCACAAUGGGGGAAACCCUGAUGCAGCCAUGCCGCGUGUGUGAAGAAGGCCUUCGGGUUGUAAAGCACUUUCAGCGAGGAGGAAAGGUUGAUGCCUAAUACGUAUCAACUGUGACGUUACUCGCAGAAGAAGCACCGGCUAACUCCGUGCCAGCCGCCGCGGUAACAC